UACGAAGGGUGCAAACGUUGCUCGGAAUUAUUGGGCGUAAAGCGCGCGUAGGCGGCCCGGUAAGUCCGUUGUAAAAGUCGAAGGCUCAACCUUCGAAAGCCGAUGGAUACUGCCGGGCUAGAGUACGGAAGAGGCGAGUAGAAUUCCUGGUGUAGCGGUGGAAUGCGCAGAUAUCAGGAGGAAUACCCAUAGCGAAGGCAGCUCGCUGGGACGUUACUGACGCUGAGGCGCGAAAGCGUGGGGAGCGAACAGG
rnacentral:rRNA from 1 species